AGAAUCUUUCGCAAUGCCCGAAAGGGUGACGAAGCGACGCCGCGUGUGGGAAGAAGGCCUUCGGGUUGUAAACCACUGUCGGGAGUUAAGAAAUGUAAGGAUGUUAAUAGCGUCCUUGCUUGACUAAGGCUCCGGAGGAAGCCACGGCUAACUCUGUGCCAGCAGCCGCGGUAAUACAGAGGCGGCAAGCGUUGUUCGGAAUCAUUGGGCGUAAAGAGCACGUAGGCGGCCUUGAAAGUCAGUUGUGAAAGCCUUCUGCUUAACGGAAGAACAGCAUCUGAUACUACAGGGCUUGAGUGCGGGAGGGGAGAGCGGAACUUCUGGUGGAGCGGUGAAAUGCGUAGAUAUCAGAAGGAACGCCGGCGGCGAAAGCGGCUCUCCGGCCCGUAACUGACGCUGAGUGUGCGAAAGCUAGGGGAUCAAACGGGAUUAGAUACCCCGGUAGUCCUAGCCGUAAACGAUGGGCACUAAGUAGAGGGGUUUUGAUUAUCUCUCUGCCGGAGCUAACGCAUUAAGUGCCCCGCCUGGGAAGUACGGCCGCAAGGCUAAAACUCAAAAGAAUUGACGGGGGCUCGCACAAGCGGUGGAGCAUGUGGCUUAAUUCGAUGCAACGCGAAGAACCUUACCGGGGUUUGACAUGGUAGAAGUAGGAACCAGAAAUGGUAACGAACGGUAUCCAGUCCGUAACUAUCACAGGUGUUGCAUGGCUG
rnacentral:rRNA from 1 species